rnacentral:snRNA from 1 species
AGCUUUGUGCAGUGGCAGUGUUGUAGCCAACGAAGUUUAUCUGAAGUACGGAUUACUGCUAAUUGAAAAUUAACCAACACUUCUAAUCUCUUGGACAAUAAAUACAAGGGUGUUAGAAUAGUUCAAUUCCAUGUAU